AAUAUUUCACAAUGGGGGAGACCCUGAUGCAGCGACGCCGCGUGAGUGAAGAAGUAUUNAGGUAUNUNAAGCUCUAUCAGCAGGGNAGAAAAUGACGGUACCUGACCAAGAAGCGCCGGCUAACUACGUGCCAGCAGCCGCGGUAAUACGUAGGGGGCAAGCGUUAUCCGGAAUUACUGGGUGUAAAGGGAGCGUAGGUGGUUUGGUAAGUCAGAUGUGAAAGCCCGGGGCUCAACCCCGGAACUGCAUUUGAAACUAUCAAACUAGAGUGCAGGAGAGGUAAGUGGAAUUCCUAGUGUAGCGGUGAAAUGCGUAGAUAUUAGGAGGAACACCAGUGGCGAAGGCGGCUUACUGGACUGUAACUGACACUGAGGCUCGAAAGCGUGGGGAGCAAACAG
rnacentral:rRNA from 1 species